rnacentral:rRNA from 1 species
AAAGGUAAGCUACUAAGAGCGAAUGGUGGAUGCCUUGACUGGUAAAGGCGAUGAAGGACGUACUAGACUGCGAUAAGCUACGGGGAGCUGUCAAGAAGCUUUGAUCCGUAGAUUUCCGAAUGGGGCAACCCAAUGUAUAGAGAUAUACAUUACCUAUAUAGGAGCGAACGAGGGGAAUUGAAACAUCUUAGUACCCUCAGGAAAAGAAAUCAAUAGAGAUUGCGUCAGUAGCGGCGAGCGAAAGCGCAAGAGGGCAAACCCAGUGCUUGCACUGGGGGUUGUAGGACUGCAAUGUGCAAGAGGUGAGUUUAGCAGAACAUUCUGGAAAGUAUAGCCAUAGAGGGUGAUAGUCCCGUAUGCGAAAAACAAACCUUAGCUAGCAGUAUCCUGAGUAGGGCGGGACACGAGAAAUCCUGUCUGAA